rnacentral:snRNA from 1 species
AUACCUUUCUCGGCCUUUUGGCUAAGAUCAAGUGUAGUAUCUGUUCUUAUCAGUUUAAUAUCUGAUACGUGGGACAUCGUCCCACAUGAUAUUAAAUUUAUUUUUUAAGGGGAAGGGCCCAUCACAAUAGCUUGCUAUUGGGGUCCUUGAGCGUCGCCCUUGCGUUGCACUACUGCUUGGGCCUGGCGCACCCCUC